rnacentral:rRNA from 1 species
GAUGAACGCUGGCGGCGUGCCUAAUACAUGCAAGUCGAGCGAACAGACGAGGAGCUUGCUCCUCUGACGUUAGCGGCGGACGGGUGAGUAACACGUGGAUAACCUACCUAUAAGACUGGGAUAACUUCGGGAAACCAGAGCUAAUACCGGAUAAUAUAUUGAACCGCAUGGUUCAAUAGUGAAAGACGGUUUUGCUGUCACUCAUAGAUGGAUCCGCGCCGCAUUAGCUAGUUGGUAAGGUAACGGCUUACCAAGGCAACGAUGCGUAGCCGACCUGAGAGGGUGAUCGGCCACACUGGAACUGAGACACGGUCCAGACUCCUACGGGAGGCAGCAGUAGGGAAUCUUCCGCAAUGGGCGAAAGCCUGACGGAGCAACGCCGCGUGAGUGAUGAAGGUCUUCGGAUCGUAAAACUCUGUUAUUAGGGAAGAACAAAUGUGUAAGUAACUAUGCACGUCUUGACGGUACCUAAUCAGAAAGCCACGGCUAACUACGUG